rnacentral:lncRNA from 1 species
AAAUCUUACCAGUGAAAAAUUUAGGAUAUCGAUCCUUCAUAGAGUCCUUAAGUUCCCAAGUGGCUUCUUCGAUUCCGUGUUUAUGCCACAACACCUUCACUAAUGGGAUUUUCUUAUUUCGCAACUCUUUUACUUCACGCAUCAAAAUGCGAACUGGCUCUUCUUCAUAACUCAAGUUAGGCUGAAUCUCGAUCUCAGAUGGAGUGAUUACGUGCGACGGGUCGGACCUAUAUCGUCGAAGCAUCGAGACAUGGAAAACGUUGUGAAUCUUUUCAAGCUCAG